rnacentral:rRNA from 1 species
GUAGGGCGCAAGCGUUAUCCGGAAUUAUUGGGCGUAAAGAGCUCGUACGCGGUUUGUCGCGUCUGCUGUGAAAUCCCGAGGCUCAACCUCGGGCCUGCAGUAGGUACGGGCAGACUAGAGUGCGGUAAGGGGGAUUGGAAUUCCUGGUGUAACGGUGGAAUGCGCAAAUAUCAGGAGGAACACCGAUGGCGAAGGCAGAUCUCUGGGCCGUAACUGACGCUGAGGAGCGAAAGGGUGGGGAGCAAACAGGCUUANAUACCCUGGUAGUCCACCCCGUAAACGUUGGGAACUAGUUGUGGGGUCCAUUCCACGGAUUCCGUGACGCAGCUAACGCAUUAAGUUCCCCGCCUGGGGAGUACGGCCGCAAGGCUAAAACUCAAAGGAAUUGACGGGGACCCGCACAAGCGGCGGAGCAUGCGGAUUAAUUUGAUGCAACGCGAANAACCUUACCAAGGCUUGACAUAUACNAGAACGGNCCAGAAAUGGUCNACUCUUUGGACACUCNNAAACAGGUGG